AUUGAACGCUGGCGGCAUGCCUUACACAUGCAAGUCGAACGGCAGCACGGGAGCAAUCCUGGUGGCGAGUGGCGAACGGGUGAGUAAAGUAUCGGAACGUGCCCAGUCGUGGGGGAUAACGUAGCGAAAGUUACGCUAAUACCGCAUACGUUCUAUGGAUGAAAGCGGGGGAUCGCAAGACCUCGCGCGAUUGGAGCGGCCGAUAUCAGAUUAGGUAGUUGGUGGGGUAAAGGCUCACCAAGCCGACGAUCUGUAGCUGGUCUGAGAGGACGACCAGCCACACUGGGACUGAGACACGGCCCAGACUCCUACGGGAGGCAGCAGUGGGGAAUUUUGGACAAUGGGCGGAAGCCUGAUCCAGCCAUGCCGCGUGCAGGAUGAAGGCCUUCGGGUUGUAAACUGCUUUUGUACGGAACGAAAAGGUUUGGGCUAAUAAGCUGAGCUCAUGACGGUACCGUAAGAAUAAGCACCGGCUAACUACGUGCCAGCCGCCGCCGUAA
rnacentral:rRNA from 1 species